CGUGGCACCUCCAUGCGGCUAGUGCUUCCUCACAGCCUGGCAACAGGGUUCAAAGAGGGAGGACCAGGAGGAAGCUGAGCCACCUUUUAUGACCUAGCCUUGGAAGUCACACAGUGUCACUUCCCCGUGCUUUAUGGCCUGAGGCAGUCACAAAAGUUCAUCUGGAUUCAAGAGGUGGAGUUAGAGACUCUACUCCUCUUGAGGUGGACGGGUCGUGCUUGGAGGGUUCCUGGUGCAAACGUGGCGCAUUCCAGAAUUGACGUAGAGAACUGCCUCCGUGCUGCUGGUUGGACAGUUAUUCUCACCAACAAGAAGGUAGACGAUGGUUAGUCUAUCUGCAGCUGCUCCCGCUUACUGAGGGGAAAAGAGAAGACUUCCCCUUGUAACCUGGCUGGGAGCCUUCCCAAGGUGGG